GCAUAUCAAUAAGCGGAGGAAAAGAAAAUAACAAUGAUUCCCCUAGUAACUGCGAGUGAAGAGGGACAAGCUCAAAUUUUAAAUCUAUCGGGUUUUACCCGAUCGAGUUGUAAUUUGAAGAAGCGUUUUCUGCGUUUUUGGUCAGCCCAAGUCCUAUUGAAUGAGGCAUCAUGGAGGGUGAUAAUCCCGUCCGGUUGAUCAUUUGCGUUUUACGAUACGCUUUCUAAGAGUCAAGUUGUUUGGGAUUGCAGCUUAAAAUGGGAGGUAAAUUUCUCCUAAGGCUAAAUAACGGCGAGAGACCGAUAGCGAACAAGUACCGUGAGGGAAAGAUGAAAAGAACUUUGAAAAGAGAGUUAAACAGUACGUGAAAUUGUUGAAAGGGAAACGAUUGAAGCCGGUCGUACCUUCGGGUAAUCAGCCUUUCGGGUGCGAUUCUGUGGAGUGUGAUGAGCUUAACACCUUCAUGCUUUGCAUAUUUGUGCUCUUGGGUGUACUUGCCCGUGUGGUUGGUUAACAUCAAUUUUGGUUAUCAUAAAAUGAUUGGAGGAAUGUAGCUUCGAUCUCAUAUUGAAGUGUUAUAGCCUUCGGUAGAUGUGAUGAACGAGAUUGAGGAUUGCAACGGAUACCCUUCGGGGCUACCUGUCUGGUCUCUGAUCGUUGCUCUGGUGCCGAAAGCUUGCUUACGGUCAUCAAAGUCGAUGGUCAAUAGGUUAGAACGGGUUAAAUUCGUUAAGGAUGUUGACGUAAUGGCUUUAAACGACCCGUCUUGAAACACGGACCAAGGAGUCUAACAUAUAUGCGAGUGUUAGGGUGAUUAAACCCUUACGCGUAAUGAAAGUAAUUUUGGUGGGAACAUUUUUGUGCACCAUCGACCGAUCAGGAUAUUUUUUGAUAGAUUUGAGUAAGAGCA
rnacentral:rRNA from 1 species